AGAAUCAACGCUGGCGGCGUGCCUAACACGUGCAAGUCGCACGAGAAAGGGGCUUCGGCUCUGAGUAAAGUGGCGCACGGGUGGGUAACACGUGAAUAAUCUACCUCCGAGUGGGGAAUAACUGAGAGAAAUCUUAGCUAAUACCGCAUAACACUUACGAGUCAAAGCAGCAAUGCGCUUGGAGAGGAGUUCGCGGCCGAUUAGUUAGUUGGCGGGGUAAUGGCCCACCAAGACGAUGAUCGGUA
rnacentral:rRNA from 1 species